rnacentral:rRNA from 1 species
AGAGGCGAGGGUGCCUUCGGAGCCAGAACACAGGUGCUGCAUGGCUGUCGUCAGCUCGUGUCGUGAGAUGUUGGGUUAAGUCCCGCAACGAGCGCAACCCUUGUCAUUAGUUGCCAUCAUUUAGUUGGGCACUCUAAUGAGACUGCCGGUGACAAACCGGAGGAAGUGGGGAUGACGUCAAGUCCUCAUGGCCCUUAUGGGUAGGGCUUCACACGUCAUACGAAUGGUCGGUACAGAGGGUUGCCAAGCCGCGAGGUGGAGCCAAUCCCUUAAAGCCGGUCGUAGUCCGGAUCGUAGUCUGCAACUCGACUCCGUGAAGUUGGAAUCGCUAGUAAUCGUGGAUCAGCAUGCCACGGUCGAAUACGUUCCCGGGCCUU